UCGUGUAUGCCAAUGAUGUGACGCAGCUUAGCUACUUGUGCGUUUGCACUAAUGAUAAUUUAGCCGUGGUUGCUUGUCUAUGGUACUGAACUGACCAUGUUACUAAACUUGUGUUCUCGCUAAUUCUGUACUUGUGUUCUCGCUAAUUAUGUACUUGUGUUCACUCUUAUGUAUUACAGUGGCCAUGGAUGCACCCGGUGUACAGGAUUCCUUUUCUUUGCUUUAGAACAAUGAUAUUUCUAACAGCAAACAAGUUUUUAAAUUGCUCCAUCAAACAGGAUAGUAUACAAGUGCUCUUCCCAAUAGGUUAUUAGUAUGUAAGUGCUGCAACUUCAGUCCGUCAGUUGAUAUGCCUUUGCAAAGUUUAUGACUGAUAUAGAAUAGAUGCACCAUAUUCAAUAUCUAAAUAUCUUAAAUAUGUUAGGAUUUUACCUGCUAUUUUCUUUGUGACACACAUAUAAGUAGAUUCCUAUUGACUCAUUCGUAAAAUGAUUUGCCGAUGUGACCAACUAAGUUAUUGCAUGUAGUAUAUGUGCUUCCUUUUCGUUGUCAGGUUUAAAAUAUUGUUGUUAAUUGCCCUAAGAGAUCUUGAUUUGGAAUUUGUAUACAUUUUUUCCUGCCGGUUGCAUCCUGUCUAUUGGGAAAAGGUAUAAUAAUUUAUUAUCUAUGUGAUUUUAUUUUCUUUCUUCGGUUCAUUUAUUAGCAAUAUGAACCCUAUUCUCCCUUAGGCAACUUUUCUCACACUUAUUUACUCCUUGCAGAAUGUGGAAAAAGAGACCAAUAUAUACUGUGACCCCUAUUCCCUCGUCAACCUCACUUGAAGCCGUGAACUGACCACUGCUCAUCUCUCAUCUCUCUACUGUUGCUGCUCUUUUUUGUCUCAUGAAGUUAAGACAGAUUGUCGGCGAAAUCAGUGACGCGAUUUCGGUAAAUUAUGAUGAUCCAUCUGGGCAGGCAAGUAAUUACCCUGAUAGUGCCCCCAUCUAUGCUUGUAUGCCUUUUUCAGUUCACCUUGUAGUGUUUUUUUCAGUACACUACUAUAGGAUUUUAUUCAGUUAAAUGAAUUCCAAUAGAAAAAACUGCGGCUGUGUAAUGAUUCUAGAAUUUAUGGUUCUUCUUGCACUUUGUUAUACAUAGCAAAAGUGGUACAGUGAUGAUUCAGCUUGGGUGGGCUCUCAAAGUCGAAGACAUAAUAACCAGUUAUUUAGACCUUUCAAUCACACAAUCACUUGCGGAUAUCCUCUGCUUUUCUUUACACCAAUUAUGUUUAAAAACUUCAAAUUAUAAAAGCAGAUAAGUCCAGGGUUCACCGGCGGAAGUUUGAGAAAAAAGAGAUAAAAGAAAAGGAGAGUUCGGAAAAUGCGCUAGUACUGGUUGCUACUGUGUGCUGGUGCAUGAAGCCCAUACUGCUUGCAUUGGUGCGCUGCUAUUGUUUGUUGGUUCAGCAGGGUGAUGUGAGUGUCUGAGAGAGAUAGCAAAAUGGAAUGAUCUUCUACAUUGACUAAAUCAUGGCACACUCAGUUCAAUUUCUUGAUUUAGUCCAAUUCAAUUCCUAAUUUUGUUUCAGUUCAAAGACUGCUAUCUCUCUCGGUUUCUAUGUUUAAUUACAAAGUCCAUGUACAUUAACAGCAAAUAAAUUCAAGUAUAUCAAUAAAUGGAAGUUCAGGUAUAUGGAAUUUGAUGCUUGUUGGGUGUAUACAGGAGUAUAAAAUGGAUUUUCUUCUUGUUGAAUGAAGUUGAACUUGUUGUUAUGCUUCUGAACUUCUACCCUUUCCCUCAGGUGGGUCACAGAAGCUAUCACAUUCCAGUGUGCACCAUUUUAAUAUGCUUAUUUUGUGCUCCCAUGAAUGUUUUUGGAGCAGUACAAAUACAUCAUCAUAGUGAGUAAAUAUGUGGCACCUUGGGAAGUACUACCAUUAAUGUUUAGAUCAAGUUCAGAACAGAAAACCUAGAAAAAAAUGUGUGCAAAAAGAAACAUCUUCUCUGAUGCUCUAUAAGUACAUGAUAAUUGGCGUUUGGUUGGUAAUUUCCUUGAAAUGCAGUUGCUUGGUAGCUCACUGGACAUCCCUCCCCAUUAUUAGCUGAUGAUGUGGAUGAUUCUGUUUGUUUACUUAACAGGACAGGGACAUUUUCCUCUCUGAUUCUUGAUGUGCCGCCGCCACCAUCUCCCGUCGCGGCCGCCGCGACGCUACCCCAUCUUCGACAGCGACCGCCGCCCUGCCCAAGACCCCCCCGGCACCCUGGAUCCCGCCACCGCCCGCAGCCCAGCCGGCGACGCCGCCAUCUCCCUGCACCGGAUCAAUGCCCACAUCUACACUUGUACACUUUUUUCAGUUGACACCGUAGGUAUUUUUUCAGUACACGUUGUCGGGUUUUUUCAGUUCAAUAGAAUCCAAAUAGAAAAAAAUUGCGGCUGGGCGAGGAUUCAUUAGUUCAUGGAGCAAAAAGUUGUACGGUGUUGAUUCAGCUUCUGUACUUUUUCUUGUUUCAGACAUUUGGUACCUCUUGUCAACUAGAUAUGUUAAUACAUGUGCCCAUGUGCCAAAAGAGGUUGAGCUGCCUGUCCAAACUAAGUACAGUUCAUUAACAAAUAGCUUCAGUAGUUUAUCAGUACAUGUCUGUUAGCAAAAUUCAUGUUACAAAUGUUUACGUACUUCCAUUUUACAAUAAAUAGAUGGCAUUUGUUGCUCCAAUUGUGGAGAAAAUGCAGUGAAAAAUAAAUAAAUUGUGCUUUCAAAAAUUCGUUUGCAGAGAAUUAUUGUGUUUAAGUUGUUCUUGUACUGCAAAAACUGUAAGGGCAGCCCCAGUGCAUGUAGCUCCCGCUUGCGCAGGGUCUGGGGAAGGGUCCGACCACUUUGGGUCUAUUGCACGCAGCCUUUCCCUACAUUUCUGUAAGAGGCUGUUUCCAGGACUUGAACCCGUGACCUCAUGGUCACAAGGUACUGCAAAAACUGUGUCAUGAUUUUUUGCAAAGUAGUUUGUGUGAAAAAGGGGAAAAGAAGACAUGUUUUCUAGUUGCAAGCAUGAUGCUCUUUAGGUGUUUGUUGUUAAUGCAGAAAACAGUUUUUAAUACCGAAGAACAACCUUAGCGAGAAGUUCAUGUUUAGAAAGUUGGUAGGUUUGUAGAUAGAAACUUAACAAAUAUUGUCCAUAUUAGUAUUGAUCGAGUAUCAUGUAUGCAUUAGUCCUAAAUACUUUGUUCAUUGUGAUCAGGGAUAAUACAAAAAGCAUAUCCUUCAGUUCUGUAGAUAUGUUACAACCUCUCCGAACAUGUCUCCACCGACGUUCUCGGCGCCGUCCACAACUUCAUCGUGUGAGAGCUUCUGCUCCAGAUCCUCUUCCUCCAUGGUGCCCACCCGCUGUGAUGACCAGGUCUGCAACCGAAACUGAAGCAUAGUGUUCAUGGAACCAAACUGAAGCAAUGCAACGAGAAAGUACAAAAACAUGGACUGAAGUACCUUGUCCUGAAGCUCCUAUAGCCACUUCUUUGCCUGGAUGUAGGAAUCUGAUAGAAAAAACAAGGUGUGUCCCUCUACAUAUUCAAGAGGAAAAAUUGAUUGCUGAAAAUGCUUGUGUUUAUAGAAUUUAAUUUUUCUAUAUGUUUCUUAUUUUAAUUCAGCCCAAUAUCUAAUUUUAGUUCAGUUCAAUUAUCAUUUUGGUUUAAGUUCAAGUCAAUUCUUAUUUUAUUUUAUCGUCUCGUGCUUCCAUCCAUUCUGUGGUCUAGAGCAGCCAUCGUGGUGUUUGUGCCUUCUAACUUGUGCAGAUUGAUUUCUUGGCACAUUGUCUUGUGCAUGUGUGUGGCAUUAAUAGACCGUCUAAAGGAGAACGGUGUUCUAGAUUAAAUUCAUCCAUUUGUCAGUGCGAGUUUAUUCUUUUUUGUCAGGCUUAUAGUUCAACUAUGGGUUUGUUUGGACUUGUAAGAUUCAAUUGACAACCACUACUAUGCAAUGAUAUUUCGGUACUAUUAACAUAAACAUAGAGCCUCAAAUGGUAAAUUUCCGACCCUUGUAACCUUAGGUACUACUACAAAGCAGAAAGGAUCUCUGUAAGUUACUCCCUCCGUCCCAUAACGUAAGACGUUUUUUGACACUACACUACAUUAUGGGACGGAGGGAGUAGUUAAUAGCACCAUGAUGUGCCUGUUGUGCUGCAAGACUGCUAGUUCUUCAACUAAAAAUAAAUAUACAUUUCGCUUGGCAUGCUUUCUGGAUGUGGUAUUACAUGAUACAGUCCCAAAAAAGUAUAAAUUUCUUCUAUUGUCAGUUCAAUUUUCUCUAGUAUGUAUGUUCUGAAGAUGAUGAGAGAAUGGUCUGGUGGAGAUCAUGCAUGUUUGUUUGCUUUUUAUCAUGAUAUAUAAAAAGAUACUGGUAGCUCUAGUACCUAUACUACAACAGCUCAUUGAAAAAAAAAAUCAGUUCAAUACAUACUUGGAAAAAAGUUCAAUACUAAGUGUUCUCUGCCUAUCCUUACAUUAGCUAGUCUUCAAUAUGUCCAAAUAGUGCCUAGAAGAAGUUAACUCAUGCAUUUCCAUAAAACUAUGUACUGAUAAAUCAGAACUCAUGCAUUUCCAUAAAAUUCUGUAAGUAUCGUGUGUGUGCUGUUACAAAUCUGAAAUAUUUUUCCAAUCAUACUAUUGAUGCAAUCAUGUGACGCCCGGAUAAUUAAGCUACAGUAACCAUCUACUAAUGAUGCCAUGUCACCUCGAUUACUGAUGCUAAUCUCGCGUUAGUUCAAAACCGGUCCAAAAUUUAAAUUCAAAAUGUGACAAACAAGGAAAGUUUUCAAAAAAUUGAAACAAAAAUGUUCGGCCUGUGCCAAUUAUUGCAUAAGUAAUUAAGGUGAGGUAAACACAAUUUUAGAAAAUGUCUAAAUACUAUUAGAUGAAUAAAACAGUAGCGAAAACUAUUAUCUAAAUACUUUUAAAUAUUAAAUAACUACAAAACUAUUUUUUUGGGUAGCAAGUUAUUGUGGCAUUAGAAUAAGUAGUUGUACUAUUUUAGGAACUAAUUUUAUAUUUUAUAAAACUAUAACAAAUAGAAAAUAAAACAUAUCAUUAUAAAGCAUGAAUAAAAGAAAAGAGAAACAAAACAACAGACCUAAUCUGCCCCACUUGGCUCGUCUAACUGAAUCCAGCCCAACUCCCCAUCUUAUAUUCCACCUCCUGUUCAUAGGAGGCUGGGUGGCUUCCCCUCGCACGUCCAUGGCCAUGGAUGGCCACGUGCCGGCCAUCCAGUUCCUCCCCAUCGCCUACAAGUCCUCCCCCGACCACCCAGGCCGAACCCUAGCGUUCUUUCCCUCUCCCCCUCGCGCCGCUUUCCUCUUCCGCAUACAUGGCUGAACCACCACCGCCAAGCUCUUUGUCGAUCCCGCGGCCACUGGCCUCCACUCGCCGCGCCAAGGUCUCCAGAAGCUCCGCCGGCGACCGCUACGUCCUCCUCGACCACGAGCUCAAGUCGGGAGCAACUACAUCGUCGGGAUCGAGCUCUGUUUACCUCGGACCACCGCCGGCGUUCGUCUUCGAUUCCGGCGUCAUCGAGCCCUCCCCGAGCCCACUUAGCACCUCUACAGGCUCGCUGUGAGCUCCUCCUCCGUCUCUCCCUAGCCCCACCGUCGAUCCGUCGUGGUAGACCCGUGCCUGCCCGAGGCCGCGAUGGACGGGGGCUUUGCUCCUGUGUGUGCCCGCGCUGUGCCGCUGAUGCUAUCGUCGCUGCUCGUCUGCUACCUGCUGCCGCUGCACCAUGCGUACUGGCGCGGCUCCCCCCGUGCCACUGCUGCUGCUCGCGCUGCCCCUGCCCGCGCUCACUACAGCCGCCGCGCGCCUGUACGCCGCGCUCGCCUUGCUGCUUCCUCUCCUCGAGCUGCUGAUGCUGCUCGCAUACUGUUGCCGCUGCUAUAGCUUAGUUGCUGCCGCUGCCAGUUGCUGCUCUGCUUUGCUGCUUCUAGCCAUGGCUCGCGUGUGUGUAUGUGUGUGUGGUGUGUGUGCGCGCAUGGCCGGCUGACUCUCUGGAUGAGGCCGGCCCUGUUUAGUUUAGUUAGCUGAUUAGUAGUACUAGUUAGGAUAAAUAAUGGUUAGGUGUAGUUCCUAUGACAUGUGGACCCUGUAAAUUAAAGUAACAAAUUAAAUUAAAAAGUGCCCAAGUCUACGACACACGGGACCCGCUUAUACUAUUCCUAUGUUGACCAGCCAAAUAUUGACUGGGUCAACCUAACUCCCUGGACCCACAUGUCAGCCCCUCUGGUACACUUCUGUGUACCCAGAGCUGGGUGCACCUAGUAUUUCACAUUUAUUUUUGAAUUAAUAAUAAUUCAGAAAAACUUUAAAACUUUGAAAAUUCAUAGAAAUUAGACUGUAGCUCGGAUGAAAAAACUUUGUACAUGAAAGUUGCUUAGAACGACGAGACGAAUCCGGAUGCGCAGCCCGUUUGUCCGCUACACAUCCCUAACAUACCGAACUCGCAACUUUCCCCCUUCCGGCUCCUCUGCCCGAAAACGCAAAACACCGGGGAUACUUUCCCGGAUGUUCCCCACCCUUCGCCGGUAUCACCUCCUACCGCGUUAGGGCAUACCUAGCACCGCGUAUUGCCUUGUUAUAUUUUGUGAUGCUUUGUUUGCUCCAUAUUUACUGUUUCUUCCCCUCUCUUCUUCUCCGGUAGACCCCGAGACCGGCGUUGAUGCGAUUGAGUACGACUACGUCACCGACGACCCCUCCUUGCCAGAGCAACCAGGCAAGCCCCCCCCCUUGAUCACCAGAUAUCGCCUAUUCUCCUCUAUACUGCUUGCAUUAGAGUAGUGUAGCAUGUUACUGCUUUCCGUUAAUCCUAUUCCGAUGCAUAGCCUGACAUUGUUGCUACAUCUGUUGAUACCUUAUCUGCAAUCCUAAAUACUUAGUAUAGGAUGCUAGUUUAUCAUCUGUGGCUCUACAUUCUUGUCAGUCUGCCUUGCUAUACUAUUGGGCCGUGAUCACUCGGGAGAUGAUCACGGGUAUAUACUAUACAUAUAUACAUACUACAGAUGGUGACUAAAGUCGGGUCAGCUCGAUGAGUACCCGCAAGUGAUUCUGAUGAGGGGACUGAAAGGACAGGUGGCUCCAUCCCGGUAGAGGUGGGCCUGGGUUCCCGACGGCCCUCGACUGUUACUUGUGGCGGAGCGACAGGGCAGGUUGAGACCACCUAGGAGACAGGUGGGCCUGGCCCUGUUCGGCGUUCGCGGAUACUUAACACGCUUAACGAGAUCUUGGUAUUUGAUCUGAGUCUGGCUACUGGCCUAUACGCACUAACCAACUACGCGGGAACAGUUAUGGGCACUCGACGUCGUGGUAUCAGCCGAAGCCUUCUUGACGUCAGCGACGGAGUGGUGCGCGCCGGAUUGGACUAGAACGCCUACUCUUGUAUAAGAGAGGCUAGGUCUGCUUUCGGCCGCCCUCGCAACGUGCAGGUGUGCAAUGGGCGAUGGGCCCAGACCCCUGCGUGCAUAGGAUUUAGACCGGCGUGCUGACCUCUUUGUUGUGCCUAGGUGGGGCUGCGACGUGUUGAUCUUCCGAGGCCGGGCAUGACCCAGGAAAGUGUGUCCGGCCAAAUGGGAUCGAGCGUGUUGGGUUAUGUGGUGCACCCCUGCAGGGAAGUUAAUAUAUUUGAAUAGCCGUGAUCUUCGGUAACAGGACGACUUGGAGUUGUACCUUGACCUUAUGACAACUAGAACCGGAUACUUAAUAAAACACACCUAGACAAGUUCCGCAGACAACCCGGUGAUCGCUUUUCCACAGGGCGACGAGGGGAGGAUCGCCGGGUAGGUUUAUGCUAUGCGAUGCUACUUGGAGGACUUCAAUCUACUCUCUUCUACAUGUUGCAAGACGGAGGCUGCCAGAAGCGUAGUCUUCGACAGGAUUAGCUAUCCCCCCUCUUAUUCCGGCAUUCUGCAGUUCAGUCCACUGAUAUGGCCCUUUACACAUAUACCCGUGCAUAUGUAGUGUAGCUCCUUGCUUGCGAGUACUUUGGAUGAGUACUCACGGUUGCUUUUCUCCCUAUUUUCCCCCUUUCCCUUCUACCUGGUUGUCGCAACCAGAUGCUGGAGCCCUGGAGCCAGACGCCACCGUCGACGACGACUACUACUCUGGAGGUGCCUACUACUACAUGCAGGCCGCUGACGAUGACCGGGAGUAGCUGAGGAGGAUCCCAGGCAGGAGGCCUGCGCCUCUUUCGAUCUGUAUCCCAGUUUGUGCUAGCCUUCUUAAGGCAAACUUGUUUAACUUAUGUCUGUACUCAGAUAUUGUUGCUUCCGCUGACUCGUCUAUGAUCGAGCACUUGUAUUCGGGCCCUCGAGGCCCCUGGCUUGUAUUAUGAUGCUUGUAUGACUUAUUUAUGUUUCUUUAGAGUUGUGUUGUGAUAUCUUCCCGUGAGUCCCUGAUCUUGAUCGUACACGUUUGCGUGCAUGAUUAGUGUAUGAUUGAAUCGGGGCGUUACAAGUUGGUAUCAGAGCCGACUGCCUGUAGGAAUCCCCCUUUCCAACUCCUUGGCUAAAGUUGAGUCUAGUCGAUGAAAAUUGUUUUACUAACUUGGCUGUGCGGCCCAUGGGCCCACGUCGCCAAUUGGGUGGUAUUAGGAUCUUUUAUUCCUCGACCUAUACUCUGGGACUCUAAUCUCUCCUUUAUUCGGGUUAAAUGAUUUUCUAAAAAUCUAACUUUAGGUUCUCGAAAAUACUUUCUCUCGGAGAGCCCCUCACUCCCGAUGAUCGUUUGUUACACCAGAAGAUUCUGAAGAUACUCGCUGAAGUUCUCUCGAGACUUUGUGCCCACUUCUUUUGCAAUUCCCUACCACCGAUAAAUCCUUAUAGAUAACUUAUUACCCUUGCCAUUCUUACAUUCAUCCCUAGCUGCUCUUGUUAUUACAAGAUGCAUCAAAUUGAUCUUCAACUUUUAAGAAUCUUUUGAGCCAUUGCAUUGCAAAUCUUUGCCACAUGAAUACCCCCUAUGGAUAACUCCUCACACUUACCGAGUAUCCGUUCUUUCAACGUUGUUCAUGUGUUCCACAGUGGUCUUUGAAAUACUAUUCGAUAAUCCAAAAAUCAUUAGUAGCUUAUUGCUCUGCAAUACUUGUCUGCUUGCAUUUUGGAUGCUUUCCAUAUGUCUGGCAUUAUUCGUUAGUAUCCUUAGGCACCGUCAUUUUGAUCCUAUUGAUUCAACAUGAGUGCGAAUGCACGCAAUCAUCAGUUGAUCCUUUUAAAUUAUCUUUCCGACUCAGACAUCACUUUAAACAUGAGCUUGAUCUCGACCAAUCAAAUUGUUGUCGAUUUUACCCCUAAGCUUACUCAACCUAUCCAUCCUUAAUCAGAGCGUUUGCUUCUGAUCCUUUGAUUUGGUAAUCAUAAUUCCUUUACAUGUGAGCUUUGAUUUAGUCAGUUGCUUCUAUAAUCCAAUGCCUUCGCAUUGUUUCUUCCUCUGGUUGUGUGACGAUACUCACAUCAGUUUCACUAUGGACCGUCGGAUCCUUUGUUGAAAUAUCAUCCGACAGUGUCCUUCGUAUACAAAAACCUCGAGAAGUUCUUUCCUGGUACAUAAUGCCUUGGGUAAAUUGUAUCCUCUGGUUUUGUCAACCAUGCUCUACUAUCGAGCUUGUGUUAUUUACUAUUGAAGCUUGAGGGUUAUGCUUCCACGAUACCCUGAUGGGUUGAACCUAUGCCUUCCUUAAUAUGUGUGAACUCGAAAGUUUUCACGAGUCAUACUUAUCUGGUAUUGCACCAGGUAAAACUUUCAAGAACUAAUGUUAUUUUUGAAAUACGAGAGGUGAAUGGAAGGUUAUGCAUUGACAAAGUGGGAGUCGACCAUGAACUUUGUGCUCAUGCCCAUGGGCACGAUGUAGAUCCUAUCAUGGAAGCUUCUUGAAAUAAUAACCAUUUCCUUAAUAAUAUCAUCUGGUAUCUGUGAAUUGAUCCUUUGCAAUCGUGGUUCCGACCAUGAUCUUCUUUAAAUACCAUUUCUCGUGCAUGUUUAAGCACUUACCUUCUAUAGAGCAAUACCCCAGUCCAAGCUCUACUUUGGACUGUCGUCGAGUAUUACCCCCCUGGUAUCUCGAGAUUAUCUUGGAACUGCAUAACUUCUUAUGAGUUCUUCAUCAAGUACUACAUUCUCACUGAUUACAAUUUUUCAUGGACUCUGAGUUAUUAAACACUCAAAGACACCAAUAACUGAACCGAGUCCGCACUACAGUUCAACUACUCUUAGUAAUCUUCUUUAAGUACGAGUUUGUACCCGAUCAAGCCAUUCCUAGCCUGAUCGGCUAUAUCCUUAUCGUGCAACUUUUUAACUGUGCUACAUGGUCCUUAUUCCCGGAGCACCACUUUCGACGAUGAGCUAAGCUUACAUUGAUUUUUCUCGUCAUAGCAUUUCACCUUGAACAACAAGCUUGAUUUUGAGUUCGUGUCGUACUCAUGGUUCCAAUAACCUUUCGCUUCGGCAUUCCUUUGACUUGAUGUCAUCGCCGAGCGGUUACACCUUCUUGAAACCUCUCGACACAGUUGUCGGGAUCAUCAUCAACAUUUUGAAUCCUUCCUGGGCAUCAAUUGAAUUCAUGAUGGUAAGUGCCAUCCUCGUCCCUUGGUAAUUUGAGUUACCAUCGACAACAUAUUUACCUUCCUUUCAUCACAAACUUGUUCUUGUUAAGGAUGCAACUUGCGAUUCAGUUUGUGUUACGUUCUACCUUGAAGUAUUACUGUCCCUUAUGUCAAGGAUGUCGCAAGGAUUACUCCACCUCUUAAGAAUUCUGGGUAUUGUGAUGCCCUCUCUCCAUCACCCUUCUUCUUGUGUCCUCGUGUUGAUUCCAACCAAGGUACCAACAAGUGAGCGGUGCUGUUUGGAUUCCGCCCUUUUAGCAACCCUAUUGCUUUGAAGUUAAUGGUCGGUCGUUCAUUCUUAGACUAUUGAUUAUUGAAUCACCAUUCCAAUGUUGGCCGUGCAACCCGACCCAUAUUCUGGGUGCACCUUUCAACCAUUGUUAAAUUGUGUAUGUUUUCCUCAAGCAUACAUCAAUAUAUCUUUUUGAUCUGACAAAUGUUAUCUCCUUGUUCACAUAAUUGUGGAAAUCCAUCCUUUGGAAAUUUUGAUGAAUUCUCGUUGAGUUCAUCAGCCACCUCCUUGUCCUCUCCUUGGGUUAAUGAUGAACUCUUGUUAAUGGAAAUUACUUCAUAGUUCAUUUCCUGAGAAUCUUACAGUGUCAUCCCGUCAAUUUGUGUUGCACCUUUCUUCUCAGGCAUCCCGAGUCUGAGGUAUCCUGACACCAAUCAAAUCUAAAUCUUGGUCAGAUAUGAUGGUUGGAACAUUUUCCAAGAGUCAGAACAUUGGUCUUUAUAUGACCCGGUAAGGUGAUGUCAUGCCUAGCACACCUGGCCGGAGGACCAAUUGUUAUAGUUUCCAUCUUAGCAAGGUUAACCAUUCUUCCAUGACGAAAUUGUGAAACUUAUUUUAUAAGUUGUUCCUGAUGAAUCCUUUGUAUAUCCAAGUCUGACCUUUGCUUGAAGACCAUGUCAAUGUUAUCUCGAAGCAUGUCUAUGGUACUUCGAUUUUCAACAAAAACAUUUGAAGCCCAAAGCUAAAUGUUUCUUGCCUAGUUAUCCAAACACCAUUGUAUGGGUAACAUCUUGAUUAAUCCUUGCCUCUUUUCUGAAUGGUUGGGUACUUUCUCUCCUACCCUGUAUGCCAUGUUAUGCUUGUACAUGGAAAGGAUAUUGUCCUAAUAAUUGUGUGUAAUCAUAAUUUUUCUUUCCAUUGUUCUGUUUAAUCUGAUAAUCACGUUUUCCUUUCCAUUCUUUUGUUUAGCCUUUCCUGUAAUCUGACUUAACUGAGUAGAGAUAAUUCCCUGCUUAGGUAAGCACCUUGUUGUACUGCUCUGUCUGUAAGACCCUGUUACUAUUGUUGAUGACAUUCCGGCAGCCGCCGAUGGACGAGAACUUUGCCUAUUGGUCCGCCUCGUUCAACGAGCAGGAAAAUAGUUCUCUUCGUCCCUCGCCCUUGGUACCAAUGAUGCAGUCAACAUAACUGACCAGCUACCCUCUAACAUGCCUUGCUAUCAUGACCGUGCAAGAUGUCACCACCCUUCCUACUUUCAACCCACAUGGUGGGCCCAUAACCCACAAGUUCCAUAGGAUCGAAACCUGACUCUCCUGUACACACCCUGUUGUCAAGGUUAUUCCUCGAGCUUGACUUCGUAUGUAAUUCACGGGCUACAUGCCUAGUAAUCUGUUCUGGUAUCAGACGCAAUACUUACUCUUACUGCUCUGAACCCCUUUCUCACUCUGGUUCAGGCUUCGAGCAACUAUCUAUCCGCUGGGAACCUCUUAUUGUACCUUCGUACCUUACUCUCGAUGUAUUUUUAUAUGUUCAACUCGAGAGAUAAUCUUGUGCUCAUUCAUGGGUUAACCCCAAAUUGUUUUCCCUCAUAAGCAUUCUGUCGUAGCCGAGCUGCCCCUUACCUAUUCGUAAGUACGUUGCAGAUUUCGAAGAAAGGAUGACGACUUGAUCAUGGUGACUUGAAGUAGAGAAAUGAAGACAAUAACGAAAGGGAUCAACCUCUUCGAAAGGGCAGCCAAGACCGAGAAGACUCGUUAGGUUUUCGCUACCAACACUUCCCCCCCCCCUUACUCCACCGCUUAAAUCUCGGGACGAAAUUUCUUGUAGUGGAGGAGAAUUGUGACGCCCGGAUAAUUAAGCUACAGUAACCAUCUACUAAUGAUGCCAUGUCACCUCGAUUACUGAUGCUAAUCUCGCGUUAGUUCAAAACCGGUCCAAAAUUCAAAUUCAAAAUGUGACAAACAAGGAAAGUUUUCAAAAAAUUGAAACAAAAAUGUUCGGGCUGUGCCAAUUAUUGCAUAAGUAAUUGAGGUGAGGUAAACACAAUUUUAGAAAAUGUCUAAAUACUAUUAGAUGAAUAAAACAGUAGCGAAAACUAUUAUCUAAAUACUUUUAAAUAUUAAAUAACUACAAAACUAUUUUUUUUGCGUAGCAAGUUAUUGUGGCAUUAGAAUAAGUAGUAGUAAUAUUUUAGGAACUAAUUUUAUAUUUUAUAAAACUAUAACAAAUAGAAAAUAAAACAUACCAUUAUAAAGCAUGAAUAAAAGAAAAGAGAAACAAAACAACAGACCUAAUCUGCCCCACUUGGCCCGUCUAACUGAAUCCAGCCCAACUCCCCCUCUUAUCUUCCACCUCCUUUUCAUAGGAGGCUGGGUGACUUCCCCUCACACGUCCAUGGCCAUGGAUGGCCACGUGCCGGCCAUCCAGUUCCUCCCCAUCGCCUACAAGUCCUCCCCCGACCACCCAGGCCGAACCCUAGCGUUCUUUCUCUCUCCCCCUCGCGCCGCUUUCCUCUUCCGCAUACAUGGCCAAACCACCACCGCCAAGCUCUUUGUCGAUCCCGCGGCCACUGGCCUCCACUCGCCGCGCCAAGGUGUCCAGAAGCUCCGCCGGCGACCGCUGCGUCCUCCUCGACCAUGAGCUCAAGUCGGGAGCAACUACAUCGUCGGGAUCGAGCUCUGUUUACCUCGGACCACCGCCGGCGUUCGUCUUCGAUUCCGGCGUCAUUGAGCCCUCCCCGAGCCCACUUAGCACCUCUACAGGCUCGCUGUGAGCUCCUCCUCCGUCUCUCCCUAGCCCCACCGUCGAUCCAUCGUCGUAGACCCGUGCCUGCCCGAGGCCGCGAUGGACGGGGGCUUUGCUCCUGUGUGUGCCCGCGCUGUGCCGCUGAUGCUGUCAUCGCUGCUCGUCUGCUACCUGCUGCCGCUGCACCAUGCGUACUAGCGCAGCUCCCCCCGUGCCACUGCUGCUGCUCGCGCCGCCCCUGCCCGCGCUCACUACAGCCGCCGCGUGCCUGUACGCCGCGCUCGCCUUGCCGCUUCCUCUCCUCGAGCUGCUGAUGCUGCUCGCAUACUGUUUCCGCUGCUAUAGCUUAGUUGCUGCCGCUGCCAGUUGCUGCUCUGCUUUGCUGCUUCUAGCCAUGUCUCGCGUGUGUGUAUGUGUGUGUGGUGUGUGUGCGCGCAUGGCCGGCUGACUCUCUGGAUGGGGCCGGCCCUGUUUAGUUUAGUUAGCUGAUUAGUAGUACUAGUUAGGAUAAAUAAUGGUUAGGUGUAGUUCCUAUGACAUGUGGACCCUGUAAAUUAAAGUAACAAAUUAAAUUAAAAAGUGCCCAAGUCUAUGACACAUGGGACCCGCUUAUACUAUUCCUAUGUUGACCAGUCAAAUAUUGACUGGGUCAACCUAACUCCCUGGACCCACAUGUCAGCCCCUCUGGUACACUUCUGUGUACCCAGAGCUGGGUGCACCUAGUAUUUCACAUUUACUUUCGAAUUAAUAAUAAUUCAGAAAAACUUUAAAACUUUGAAAAUUCAUAGAAAUUAGACUGUAGCUCGGAUGAAAAAACUUUGUACAUGAAAGUUGCUUAGAACGACGAGACGAAUCCGGAUACGCAAUCCGUUCGUCCGCCACACAUCCCUAACAUACCGAACUCGCAACUUUCCCCCUUCCGGCUCCUCUGCCCGAAAACGCAAAACACCGGGGAUACUUUCCCGGAUGUUCCCCCCCUUCGCCGGUAUCACCUCCUACCGCGUUAGGGCAUACCUAGCACCGCGUAUUGCCUUGUUAUAUUUUGUGAUGCUUUGUUUGCUCCAUAUUUACUGUUUCUUCCCCUCUCUUCUUCUCCGGUAGACCCCGAGACCGGCAUUGAUGCGAUUGAGUACGACUACGUCACCGACGACCCCUCCUUGCCAGAGCAACCAGGCAAGCCCCCCCCCUUGAUCACCAGAUAUCACCUAUUCUCCUCUAUACUGCUUGCAUUAGAGUAGUGUAGCAUGUUACUGCUUUCCGUUAAUCCUAUUCUGAUGCAUAGCCUGGCAUUGUUGCUACAUCUGUUGAUACCUUAUCUGCAAUCCUAAAUACUUAGUAUAGGAUGCUAGUUUAUCAUCUGUGGCCCUACAUUCUUGUCAGUCUGCCUUGCUAUACUAUUGGGCCGUGAUCACUCAGGAGGUGAUCACGGGUAUAUACUAUACAUAUAUACAUACUACAGAUGGUGACUAAAGCCGGGUCAGCUCGAUUAGUACCUGCAAGUGAUUCUGAUGAGGGGGCUGAAAGGACAGGUGGCUCCAUCCCGGUAGAGGUGGGCCUGGGUUCCCGACGGCCCCCGACUGUUACUUGUGGCGGAGCGACAAGGCAGGUUGAGACCACCUAGGAGACAGGUGGGCCUGGCCCUGUUCGGCGUUCGCGGAUACUUAACACGCUUAACGAGAUCUUGGUAUUUGAUCUGAGUCUGGCUACUGGCCUAUACGCACUAACCAACUACGCGGGAACAGUUAUGGGCACUCGACGUCGUGGUAUCAGCCGAAGCCUUCUUGACGUCAGCGACGGAGCGGCGCGCGCCGGAUUGGACUGGAACGCCUACUCUUGUAUAAGAGAGGCUAGGUCUGCUUUCGGCCGCCCUCGCAACGUGCAGGUGUGCAAUGGGCGAUGGGCCCAGACCCCUGCGCGCAUAGGAUUUAGACCGGCGUGCUGACCUCUCUGUUGUGCCUAGGUGGGGCUGCGACGUGUUGAUCUUCCGAGGCCGGGCAUGACCCAGGAAAGUGUGUCCGGCCAAAUGGGAUCGAGCGUGUUGGGUUAUGUGGUGCACCCCUGCAGGGAAGUUAAUCUAUUCGAAUAGCCGUGAUCUUCGGUAACAGGACGACUUGGAGUUGUACCUUGACCUUAUGACAACUAGAACCGGAUACUUAAUAAAACACACCCAGACAAGUUCCACAGACAACCCGGUGAUCGCUUUUCCACAGGGCGACGAGGGGAGGAUCGCCGGGUAGGUUUAUGCUAUCCGAUGCUACUUGGAGGACUUCAAUCUACUCUCUUCUACAUGCUGCAAGAUGGAGGCUGCCAGAAGCGUAGUCUUCGACAAGAUUAGCUAUCCCCCUCUUAUUCAGGCAUUCUGCAGUUCAGUCCACUGAUAUGACCCUUUACACAUAUACCCAUGCAUAUGUAGUGUAGCUCCUUGCUUGCGAGUACUUUGGAUGAGUACUCACGGUUGCUUUUCUCCCUCUUUUCCCCCUUUCCCUUCUAACUGGUUGUCGCAACCAUAUGCUGGAGCCCUGGAGCCAGACGCCACCGUCGACGACUACUACUACUCUGGAGGUGCCUACUACUACGUGCAGGCCGCUGACGACGACCGGGAGUAGCUUAGGAGGAUCCCAGGCAGGAGGCCUGCGCCUCUUUCGAUCUGUAUCCUAGUUUGUGCUAGCCUUCUUAAGGCAAACUUGUUUAACUUAUGUCUGUACUCAGAUAUUGUUGCUUCCGCUGACUCGUCUAUGAUCGAGCACUUGUAUUCGGGCCCUCGAGGCCCCUGGCUUGUAUUAUGAUGCUUGUAUGACUUGUUUAUGUUUCUUUAGAGUUGUGUUGUGAUAUCUUCCCGUGAGUCCCUGAUUUUGAUCGUACAUGUUUGCAUGCAUGAUUAGUGUACGAUUGAAUCGGGGCGUUACAAAUCACCUAAAAAUGUUGAAGAAAAACUCUACAAGUUUGGUGCGUGUGCUGCCACAAAUCUAAACUUCUUGUCCAGUCAUUCUAGUACUGAUGAAGAUCGAGUUAAAUGAAAUAACCUAGUCGAUUCCUGAGACCCUUACUAAUCCUUCUAUAUAUAGAAGUUGUGCCUGAUAGCCAUACAUGACUUUUGUCUUUGUUCCCUACUUGUUUUUGUAAAAUUCUUUGAACUGAUUUAGGUGAUAUAUUCGGACCCUUGCCUCGUCAGUAGAACAGCACACUCCACAACCGGUCACGAGAAGAGUUACAUGAAGGCCACCCUCUGCUCCGUCCUCGAUCCGGCGUAGUCAUCUCCCUCUCAUCCUCUCUCUGCUCCGUGUGUGUGUGCAGGGAGUGGAAGGAAAUAGUGCAGGGGAGUAGGAGGUCCUUCCAUGGUGAAUUCAUAGGCAUCUUCCAUGGAGAUUGUGAGCUCUCUCGAUUAUUGCUUGAGGAUUUAUGUUGGUCUGUCCACUGUAGUUCCUGUAUAGGGGCAUCCUCUUUUUCUAGUGUUCCUCAUUUGAUGUUGUUGCAGGUGUUUAAUAACCCACUGAUAUGAUUUCUGGAAACAAGCUUCAGUACAGAGAAGCAUCGGUACGAGAAAAAAUGGGUCAUCACUUCAUCCAUAUGCAACCUCCUGCGUGGUCGUCCAUUUUUAUUUGGAGCUACUCGUUGUGUGGUCAUCCAUGUGUGUAUUGUGUUGUCAGGUCGUGUGCAAGUUUGUUACAAGUUCAUUUAUAUGUUGGUAACCACUGUUAUUGCUGCUAGCUAUCGAUCUGACUGUUGUAUUACUUUAGCCCCUUCACUGGCAUCAUCUCCUACUAUUUGCUAGCUUGGCAUUGUAAAAACAUGACAAGUUCACAACUACAGAAGUUGUAAGUUCAAACACGGCGUACCAGAUAACUUUGGGGAAAAAGCUCAGACAAAAAGAAAACACAGAAAUUCAAAUGGUAAAAGUUCCAGUCGCAAAAUGAGAGAAGUUCAAAACAUUGUUGCACAAAAUAUUGAGUUCAACAAAAAAAGGAAACACACAUGAUUUAUUUUUUUUGGAAAAAUAUCAUUCAGUUCAAUGAUAUAAAACAUGCAAGCUCAAACUGUUGACGAAGUUACGGGAUAAACAAAUUUUCCUAUUCAAGUGGAAGCUCCCAGUAUAUGAUGGAUAUGGGAGUUAUUUUUACAUUCACUGUUUUGUGCUUCUCUUUAUGUAAUGUUUUAUGUUUUCAAGUGCUCGAUGAAAAUUUAUGUUCCUAGUAGUUCAUGUAUUAUUGCAUGAGGAGUUCAUGUGUUACUCGCCAGUAAGUAAACCUAUUAAUCACUCUCUCAAGUGUGAUGAAAAAAAUGGGCAGUAAAUUGAUGAAAAAAUAUCAUCGAGUUCAAAACACCCUAGUUCGGGCGUAGUAAGUACCUCAGUACGAGUUAAAAAUGGUGGCCCGUUCGGAAUAAAAGAAAUGGCAGAAAAUCAAAUUGUAAAGUUCAAGCAAAAAAAAAGAAACCCAAUGAAAAUCCUACUUAAUAAG
rnacentral:lncRNA from 1 species